rnacentral:rRNA from 1 species
AUACGGAGGGGGCUAGCGUUGUUCGGAAUUACUGGGCGUAAAGCGCGCGUAGGCGGAUUGACAAGUUGGAGGUGAAAUCCCGGGGCUCAACCCCGGAACUGCCUUCAAAACUGUCAGUCUUGAGUUCGGAAGAGGUGAGUGGAAUUCCUAGUGUAGAGGUGAAAUUCGUAGAGAUUAGGAAGAACACCAGUGGCGAAGGCGACUCACUGGUCCGAUACUGACGCUGAGGUGCGAAAGCGUGGGGAGCAAACAGGAUUAGAAACCCUAGUAGUCC